rnacentral:rRNA from 1 species
ACACGCAUGGACACACUGCAUAUCAAUAAGCGGAGGAAAAGAAACUAACAAGGAUUCCCUUAGUAACGGCGAGUGAAGCGGGAAGAGCUCAAAUUUGAAAUCUUCAAGGUUCUACCUUGACGAAUUGUAGUUUAAUAGAAGUGUUUUCUGUUAGUGGAGUGGCUAAAAGUUCUUUGGAAUAGGACAUCAGUAGAGGGUGAGAAUCCCGUAUUUGAUCACUAUUCUACUAAGCUGUUGUGAUACACUUUCAAAGAGUCGGAUUGUUUGGGAAUGCAGUCCAAAAUGGGUGGUAAAUUUCAUCUAAAGCUAAAUAUUGGCGAGAGACCGAUAGCGAACAAGUACCGUGAGGGAAAGAUGAAAAGAACUUUGAAAAGAGAGUUAAACAGUACGUGAAAUUGUCAAAAGGGAAGCGUUUGACACCAGUGUUGUUUUUCUCGAAAAUCAAUUAAAUGAUGGCUUGAUUUGUAGUUGUCAUGACCUUUAUAAGCUUUUCUGCACUUUUUUCUAUGUCUUUCUUAAUGCACUUUUCGUUUAACAAGUCAACAUCAAUUUCUUUUGUUGUAAAAGAGUUAAUAGGAAGGUGGCUUUUACUUUCGGUAAAAGUGUUUAUAGCCUUUGAGCUCUGCAAUCGGAGAGAUUGAGGUCUGCAGCGUAGAUCCUUCGGGGUUAGAUACAUUUGUGCUAAGUUAUAGUCUUUCAUAGACAACUUGUUGACUAUAAUUCAAGUCCUUGUAAUUUACUCGCAUAUGCUAUUUUACCUACGCUUAGGAUGUUGAAGACUCUACAGAGAUA